rnacentral:lncRNA from 1 species
UGAAUUAAGUCCUUAUUGAGAAGGAAAAAAUCAGGCAAGUGGACUAGGCGUAGCUUCAUUAACAGCAAACCAGGAUAAAAAUACUUGUGUUUUUAUCUUUAUCGUUAUCUUAGACGUUUGAUAUACUGUACUGCAAAAGUUUUUUAAUCCAUAAGUCCAAUUCAAACCCCCCCUUCUUGUAUUUCUUGCACCUUCAAUU